CAGACCAGUGGUGAAGAUUGGUGGCAUAGGAGUCAUGGAUGAUGAAAACAUAUGUCUGAAACUCGGAGGUCCAA